AUUAUCUCAAGUCUAAUAUGGUAUGAGAUGUAAACUUUCGAUUUUGUACUUAUUUUCUUCUUCUCGUGUUCUUCUUCAUGGAUCCACUUCUGGAGGUUUUUGAAAAUUCUUUAAACCCUACUGAUCCUAUUGUCAAUGCUCGACUGCUUGCGUCGCCUGUCCUUAAACAAUAUAAAAUUUCAUAUUUUCUUCACCUUUCUGAUGACACCAAUAUUGUUUUGGUCUCGAAUCUACUUAUCGAAACCAAUUAUACUUCCUGGAGUCAGUCUAUGAUUAUUGAUCUCAUGGUCAAGAACAAGCUCGGAUUUGUGGAUGGAACCAUACUGUGACUGACUGGAGCUUUAUCAAGUUCUUGGAUAAUUUGUAAUGGCAGCAUCACAACGUGGAUUUUCAAAUUGUUGUCUAAAGAAAUUUCGGCGAGCAUCAAUUUCUCUGAUUUUGCCAGAGAAAUUUGGAUCGAUCUUCAAGAACGAUAUCAACAUAACAAUCGUCCACGCAUUUUUCAACUUCGUAAAGAGCUAUCGAAUUUAUCUCAAGAACAAUCCUCUGUUUCUGCUUAUUAUUCUAAAUUGAAAGGCUUAUGGAAUGAAUUGGUUUCCUAUCGGCCGAUGUGUUCUUGUGGACACUGCACUUAUGUAGGUGUUAAGGAUCUUGCCAACUAUUUUCAGACAGAAUAUGUCAUGACCUUUCUCAUAGGUCUCAAUAAUUCUUUUAGUCAAAUUAGGGCUCAAUUGUUGUUAAUGGAGCUAGAACCGACUAUCGAUCAUGCUUUCUCCCUUGUUGUUCAAGAAGUUGAAUAAUGUAUCAUUCCGCCUUCAUAGUUGACAUCCCCUGUUUCUUCCAUCACGACCUUGCUUGUUAAAAAUUAUUUUGGUAAUUCUUCUGGUAAUUCUUCUCAUACUUCAUCUUUUAACAUUCCGAAGAAGAAAGAUAAACCUAUCUGCACUAAUUGCGGUAUUCAUGGUCACACAACUGAUCGAUGUUACAAGUUUCACAAAUAUCCACCUAGUCAUCGCCUUCAUCAAAAGUCUGUGACCAAAUAUGAAUCUCCUGUUGAUUCUCUAUCUAUGUUAACUACUGAACAAUGUCAGGGACUCUUAUCUUUACUUCAAAAUCAUCUCGCUAAAGCUAAGAUUGAUUCUGAUACUUUUACCAACACUUCUCAUGUUGUGGGUAUUUUCCCAAUUCUCGCCACUUCUGAUUUCAAAUAUGAUUCUUGGAUUUUGGACUCGAGAGCUGCUGCUCAUAUUUGUUCUACACGGAAUAUGUUUGUUUCAUUUACUAAUGUGGAUGGUGCUAUUGUCUCUUUACCAAAUCAGUCUAAGGACAAAUUGUCUUUGAAGACGAUUGGCAAGGCCAAUCUUUCACAAGGACUUUAUUUGCUCUCAGUUGAUCAACAAAUUCAUUCUGUGGUUAAGGAAGAUAUUGUUAUUUGUCUAUAGCUUCUUGCUUGAUUUUUGCUUGACAUGACAGCUCAAAUUGAAGUUGGAGCUGGAAUUACUUCAGGCAAUGAGUUCUUGCAUGAAGUUUGAGUAUAAAUCACUCAGAUUUAAGUGGAAAUGGUCAUACAAUUGAUAGUAUAUUGCUGAAGAUGGUUGAAGGUUGAAGAAGGUCUUCAACUGUGAUGCACCAGUGAACUUCUCCUCUUUUCCCCUAAAUUCCAGCUUGUUUUGAGUCCUACAACUCAAUCUAAGGCUCCUAGAGGAUAGAAGGGAAGCUCUAGUGGCAGUUCACAUCCAGAAGAAGGGAGAAUUGCAGUUGUAUUUCGAGUUUGAAGUAGAUUUUCAAAGCCAGACGUCAGUUUCGCUAGUCGCUCGCGGAACGCCUCGGUCGCUCGGUGUUUGCAGUUUGAAGCAGUCACUCGUCGACCCCCAAUCACCGCCGCCUGCCGCCAAAAACCCACCCCCAGGUUAGCUGUCGCCCCUGCCUCCUCGCGUCGACGGUCUGAGCCACACGCACAAGAUCUCUCCCCAAUCGUUCGUGGUCGCUGUCGGGGUGCUGCUCAUUCGCCCGUGGGUCGCCACUGCUCAAAUCGGCGACAACGAACUUGAGUCCCUAGCCACCGUGAAGCCAUCGAUGCCCAGCCUCGAGUUUUGCAGUCGCCAAGUUCCCAGUCGUCGAUAGUGCCAGAACGUUAGAGUUAGUGGUAAGUUAUUCGUUGAUUUUUUACAAUGGGUUUUGGAUAUCUUGGAUGCACAUUAAGUUUUGAUAUUUUUUUGUUGACGAUUCAAUGUGAUCGGAGUUUGGUUUGGAGAUUGGGUCGUUCCGAGUCGCCAUCAAGCAAGGAUUGUGAGCAAUUGGUGAGUUUAAUUGGGUUCUUAACACCCUUCAUUUUGGCGUGUAUCUACAGUCAAUUUCGUGUCUGAAACUCGACUGUAGUUCGACUUGAACAAACACUUCAAGGUUCGAUUUAAGAUUCUUUUUAAGCAAGGAAGGAAAUAAAUUUGUUUGAUUGAGCUCAAACUCUAAGGUAAGUAAUCUUACUACUGGAAUCGCUUUUGUGCCAGGCGAUACACUGUAGAUUUUAACAUUUAGAACCCUACAACAGUUUUUCUUUGAAUAAUUUUGAUUGUUUUGAGGUUGGAUGGACUGCUUAUGAAGUAUAUAUGAGCAUGUGGUAAUAUAUCGGAAUAUGAUUACGUAUGAACUCGAUUUGGAAUUUUAUGAGUUAUAUGAAAUGAUGAUUGAGCAUGACCCUUAAAUUAUGAGUUAAGUAGCAUGCAUAUUGGGGUGCCUUAAAGCUAGAUGAGCCUUAGACAUUUUCUGAUUUAUAUAGUUAUGCGAUUUAUUAUGAGAAUAUGUAGACUGUAUGAUAUAUUACGAAAUUCUGAAUACUGCAUUGUUUACAUGACCUAGUGCAUGAAAGUGAUGUGCUACAGUUGAUUCAUUUAAAACUAGGUUAAAUAUGUAUGUUGGGGUUAAUUAGCAUGAGGUUGACGAUGAGGAGAUUUUAGAGGAUUCAUGAUUAGGUGAAUAUUAUAUGUAAUAUGAAGUUAGAUGCAAUCUUCUUUCCUUUCCAGACUAUGUGACUGCAUGAAAGUAAUGUACGUCCAAGGGCGCUAGUACAUGAAAGAGAUGUACUAGGGUUGGUGUGUAUGAAAGUGAUACAUACCUAGAGGGUACUGGGGUGUACGAAAGAGGUACGCAUCCCUGCAUUUAUAGAGAGAAUCUGGGGUGUACGAAAGAGGUACAUACUCAGUGGGUUAUGUGUAUAUGAAAGAGGUGUAUACAUAACUAGAUGUACGAAAGAGGUACAUACUUAGUAGGUUAUGUGUAUACGAAA